UACAGAGGGUGCGAGCGUUGUCCGGAAUCACUGGGCGUAAAGGGCGCGUAGGUGGCUGGGUAAGUGCGCGGUGAAAGCCCGGGGCUCAACCCCGGGUCGGCCGUGCAGACUGCCUGGCUCGAGCACAGUAGAGGCAGGUGGAAUUCCGGGUGUAGCGGUGGAAUGCGUAGAGAUCCGGAAGAACACCGGUGGCGAAGGCGGCCUGCUGGGCUGUUGCUGACACUGAGGCGCGACAGCGUGGGGAGCAAACAGG
rnacentral:rRNA from 1 species